AAGUCGUAACAAGGUUUCCGUAGGUGAACCUGCGGAAGGAUCAUUAAUACGUUUCUAAACAAACGUUUUAAACUCCAAAAUUUUAAUAGUGGAAAUAUAACUUCCGGAUGCAUUUGUCGGAGGGCAGAUCAGACUAACAUUUGAUCUCUCUUUUGAAAAGGAGACUUCAUGCACUUUAUUGUGAGUGCGUGACACUUCAGAGUAGAGCAGUGAGGUGAAAACUUCAGUUUUUGGUUUCUGAAAUACAUCUGUAUCCGGUUAUUCUCUGUUCUACAACCCUUUUUAUUAAACAAUAAACCCCAUGUACAACAACUUGAACUAAACAAAUUUUGUUUUCUCUCUGUGAGGAAAUGAAGUAAAUCUGAACUUAAGAACAACUCUUAACAACGGAUAUCUUGGUUCUC
rnacentral:misc_RNA from 1 species